rnacentral:rRNA from 1 species
GAUCCUGGGCUCAGGAUGAACGCUAGCGGCAGGCUUAACACAUGCAAGUCAGGGGCAGCGCGAUGUAGCAAUACAUUGGCGGCGACCGGCGCACGGGUGCGUAACACGUAUGGAACUUACCCUUUACUGGGAGAUAGCCCGGAGAAAUCCGGAUUAAUAUCCCAUAAUAAACGAAGUGGCAUCACUUGUUUUGAAAGCUCCGGCGGUAAAGGAUGGCCAUGCGCACGAUUAGCUAGUAGGUGAGGUAACGGCUCACCUAGGCUACGAUCGUUAGGGGGGCCUGAGAGGGUUAUCCCCCACACUGGUACUGAGACACGGACCAGACUCCUACGGGAGGCAGCAGUGAGGAAUAUUGCGCAAUGGAGGCAACUCUGACGCAGCCAUGCCGCGUGCAGGAAGAAGGCGCUACGCGUUGUAAACUGCUUUUAACCGGGAAGAAACCCUCCGACGUGUCGGAGGUUGACGGUACCGGAGGAAUAAGCACCGGCUAACUUCGUG